ACAACUCUUGAAAAACCGAGCAAGCAUUGAAAAAAAAAAUUAGAAAAGAAAAACAUUUGUUUUGUAAAUAUGAUGUGAAAGAAAAGAAAAAAAAAUCUAAUAUAGAGAAAAUAAAAAUGAAUGCUUGCUUGGAAGGAAAAUAGUGAAAAACAAAAAUUGAGUUGUGAAAUAAGAGUUGUGAAGGUUUCAAAUGAGAAAUAAAUGGAACGAAGUUGAGAUGUGUAAAUAAUGUACAGUGAAUGUCUCUUUUGCAUCGGCAAU
rnacentral:lncRNA from 1 species